AAGUCGUAACAAGGUUUCCGUAGCUGAACCUGCGGAAGGAUCAUUAACACGUAUCCAAACGUUAAAACCCCCCCCGUGAACCUUCAUCCUGCUCUUGUAACCCGCGUAGUUCGUAAUCUCUGAUAAAUCGAUAAUCGAGCGGUAGUUCUAUAGGCAAUGUUUCCCCAAGCAGUCAGUGUCGGAAAGUGUCAUUGAUUGUGCAAGGAUAGCGCUUCUACGAUUCCUGUAGACCGUACACUCGGGCAGGAGCUUUGCCAAAGGGUCCCCAUGCCCCCUAAUAACCCCACAGUUUAAUGUGAAGCUCAAUGUAAUACAUUGGGUAAAAAAACCGAACAACUGUUAACAAUGGAUAUCUUGGUUCUC
rnacentral:misc_RNA from 1 species